UCUUGGGUGUCUCCCCAAAGCCUGUGCUGGAAGGUGGUUGGAUCACAAGAGCACUGUACUCACCAGUGGGUUUGUCCAUUGAUGAGUUCAUAGCUGAGUUGCUAUGGGGAGGUGGGGUCUGGUUGGAAGAGGUGCAUCACCGGGGUGUGACCUGGAAGGAUCCAUCUUCUGUGCUUCCUGACCCCCAUGAUGUGAGCAGCUUUCCUCCACCCAGGACUUCCUGGUGCCGCCAAACAUAGCCAGAAACUUCUCAACUGUGAGCUGAAAUAAACUUCUCCUUUACGUUGUGGGUGUUGGGUAGUUUGUUCUAGCAGUGAGGAAAGUGAUGAAGAAGCUCUGCCUUUCCAAGGAAUAGGAAAAUGAUGUACUCCUAUGACUUAUAAAAAAGCAGCAGAACAAUGCCCUUUCACCAGCAUCCUCCUCCGGCAUCAUUUGUCAUUGGGUCAUGUGAAAGUGGGUAGUGACUCACUGAGGGCCGAAGUGAAGACAGCUGAAGAAUGUUCAGAGGCUCUAGAUAAGCUGAUUGUGAAGAAACUCACUUGCCGGAGCUGAGCUUCCAUAUGGACGAGAGCCUCCGGUCCACAAAGGGAUGCCUGAAAGGACUUCGUCCACAAGGAGGCCACGUCAGAUACAGGUCUCAGGGCUUUGAAUGACAGGGUGAUGACCUUGCUGGGGCAGUGCUGCAGGCUGCACAUUGAAGUCCUUCAUAAUCCAGCACCAUGAGGACCCCAGGGCUAUCACAUCUGUCAAUAAGCACACACUGCCAGGGUCUUACAGGAUCAGCAAGAAGUCAGGGGCCACCGUACUUCUCUUUCGAGACGCUUUUCUGAAGUGCUUUGCCAGCAAAACAGAAUAGCACGCUUUGGAGAAUAACACACUUUUCCGGAUCUUCUUUAUGGUUGACAAUGAUCUGAGGCCUCCUCCUUUACUGCCGAUCUUCAUCCCAAUAUCAAAGUGGUGUCUUUUUGACCCAGCUGAUGGAUCACAGUGCUAUAGCAGCUUCUGAAGUCUGCCACCUGAGGACCCCUGCCCAGGCCAGUGCAGCAGCCAGUGAGGACAUGUAGAUGACACAGAUGGAGCCUGGAAGAGUCACAGUGUGUCUGAGCGCAUCUAGCACCUGGCUUGGGUUUGAGGUGAUGUCACUGAAGAGCAUAGGAAUGGCACCCGGAAGAACACAUCCAGAGGUCCACACCGAGGAGGAGGCGGCUGCAGAGAUCAAAAAGUCUGUGGCUGUGAAAGAAACACCUUAACCUGUCUGGGGAUGAGGACCCAACUGAGGAGCCCCUGGAGGUAGGUCCCGAGGAGCUGCCUAAUGAGGAAUUGUGGGGCUGGACGAGGAAUGCAUAGCUGAAGAAGAGAACUGAAGGGCCGGGGAUUUAGCUCAGUGGUUUCGCUGGCGCCUGCUACGCAAGCACAAAGACCCAAGUUCGAUCCCCGGUACAAAAAAAAAAAAAAA